rnacentral:rRNA from 1 species
GAUGAACGCUGGCGGCGUGCCUAAUACAUGCAAGUCGAGCGAACAGAUGAGGAGCUUGCUCCUCUGACGUUAGCGGCGGACGGGUGAGUAACACGUGGAUAACCUACCUAUAAGACUGGGAUAACUUCGGGAAGCCGGAGCUAAUACCGGAUAAUAUAUUGAACCGCAUGGUUCAAUAGUGAAAGACGGUUUUGCUGUCACUUAUAGAUGGAUCCGCGCCGCAUUAGCUAGUUGGUAAGGUAACGGCUUACCAAGGCAACGAUGCGUAGCCGACCUGAGAGGGUGAUCGGCCACACUGGAACUGAGACACGGUCCUGACUCCUACGGGAGGCAGCAGUAGGGAAUCUUCCGCAAUGGGCGAAAGCCUGACGGAGCAACGCCGCGUGAGUGAUGAAGGUCUUCGGAUCGUAAAACUCUGUUAUUAGGGAAGAACAAAUGUGUAAGUAACUAUGCACGUCUUGACGGUACCUAAUCAGAAAGCCACGGCUAACUACGUG